UGCAAAACCUUAGAGUGAAUAAAUGAAGACUCUGAACACCACUUCUGAAAGGUUGCUGACCCCUACUAUAGUCCAUAAGGGCUGGAUACCAAGCUGAAGUCUGAUUAGGAAAACACCAGGCAACUAGACAUUAUGAACUUGUUCAGCCUUUGCUUCCAAAUUCUUCAUCACUGCAUUUGACAUUCUUGGUUUAGCAGGCAUCAAUACUCCUAGAAGAAGUAUUCUAGGCAGGCUAUAAGAUGAACCUUGAGUCUUGCUGGGCAUUGAGUCCAAGAUUUAGAUACUGUCCUAAAAAGAUAUGCUCUAGUAAUUUUGGGGACAUUCUGUUGCCUGCAUUAGAGAGCUUGUGACCAUUUGAUCCUAAAGUCUAACUGACCUUUGAAUCUAGGAUAGUUGGUUCCUGAUAGACCCAGACAGCUAUACCACCACUUAACAUUUGUUUUUUAUGCAGGAAGUCAGCAAUAUUGUAACUAGUUACUUAGACAUGUAAAUUCUGACCAUCCCCUACCCAGGCAUAGUUGUAAUAGGUUUUUGCUUCAGACUUCAAAUCAUAGUUACACCACUAGGUUUCUAGUUGCCUUAGGAUACAAUCGGAGAGCCUCAAAAUUAAGGCAUUUCUAGAACCAUGCUAUGUUAUGAUUUUAAGAUCCAUUCCUCCCUCCCCCGAUGAAAAUAAUUUGUAGCUUUUGCAGGAGCAUGGAGAAGAGAAGCACUGACAGCAAGUCAAAGGUUUCUGUAGUUUCAACCUGGUAACAAGAUCAGUUUCCCACAUGCCAUAUUCUUAUCACAGAAGCACUAAAGAAUCCUCUCAUAAAGGCCUCAGCUAGAAUAUGGUGUCCAGAUCUUCCUUGAAGCUCAGCAAACUGGAGACAUCCUAGAGAAGAACUACAAAAAAUGAGAGAAGAUUUAGAAAUCCUAACCCAUGAGGAAAGGUCUCUGUAAGAGACUGUGUGAAUGAGGAGUGUACGCAUCAGGAAAAGAUAAGGUGUGAAGGCCCUUGUUAAAGUCAGAUGGUCAAGAAAGGAGGAGUGAAGAGAACCAUCAAGGCACAUCCAUAAUUGAUGAAGGGCAGAUUGACAACCCUGUGGUGGAGGCUGGCACCCCUAAAGACAAGAUAAUUGAUUAAAUAGAAACUAGGACAGGAUGACCCUCUGAGAGGUGCUUUGACUUGUUAACAUCAAAAGAUAACACCAAUUAAGGAGUAACUGGUCAUAAAUGACACUGCAAAAUCCACUGACUUCAGAGAAAAAGGACUGCAAGAACAGGGUACUUUGCCAUGGAACUUUGAGUUUGUCUUGCCACAACUCCAGGAGCACUGGAUCGUGACCAACAGAGCCCAGCUCCCCUCUGUGACCAAUCUGGCCAGCCACUAGAUUGAUCCAGACUCUGGACUGGUAACUAUAAACAUCAACUGGAAGGACUGUGUGCAUGAGUGAGAGACUGCUGUAUUCUCAAUAAAUGCUGCGUAUUGCCUUUUUCCCUCAAAAACAUCCGUGCGCUUUCUAUAAGAACACAGCCGCAGGGCCCCCCACCAGCUCCUACAUGUAUGGGCAGCCAGGGGCCUCUGCCCCAAGCAACACCCCUGCAGCUCCCAUUGGCUGCAGUUCCCAGCCAAUGAGAGCUGAUGGGGCAGUGCCUGCUGAUGGGAGUCAGCAGCGCUUACCUCAAGGGGCAGCAUGCAGGGAGC